CACGUAGGGGGCGAGCGUUGUCCGGAAUCAUUGGGCGUAAAGAGCUCGUAGGCGGCUCAGUAAGUCGGGUGUGAAACCCUCAGGCUCAACCUGGGGACGCCACUCGAUACUGCUGUGGCUAGAGUCCAGUAGAGGAGUGUGGAAUUCCCGGUGUAGCGGUGAAAUGCGCAGAUAUCGGGAGGAACACCAACGGCGAAGGCAGCACUCUGGGCUGGAACUGACGCUGAGGAGCGAAAGCGUGGGGAGCGAACCGG
rnacentral:rRNA from 1 species